AACAGCCUGCUAUGUUUGUUAGCUUCUCUAAUGUUUCGAACCGUACGUUUAAAAAGGGAGCUCUACAUUGACUCUGUGACGACAUGCCUCUAUUAGGACGUUGGAUCAGCUGUCUGCGAGCACCCACCUGCGAGGGUAGGUUCUUGAAACGUGUGAAGCAAACGGCAUUCGCGGGUUUUUU
rnacentral:other from 3 species